rnacentral:rRNA from 1 species
UGGGGAAUAUUGGACAAUGGGCGCAAGCCUGAUCCAGCCAUGCCGCGUGAGUGAUGAAGGCCCUAGGGUUGUAAAGCUCUUUCACCGGGGAAGAUAAUGACGGUAACCGGAGAAGAAGCCCCGGCUAACUUCGUGCCAGCAGCCGCGGUAAUACGAAGGGGGCUAGCGUUGUUCGGAUUUACUGGGCGUAAAGCGCACGUAGGCGGACGUUUAAGUCAGGGGUGAAAUCCCGGGGCUCAACCCCGGAACUGCCUUUGAUACUGGAAGUCUUGAGUAUGGUAGAAGUGAGUGGAAUUCCGAGUGUAGAGGUGAAAUUCGUAGAUAUUCGGAGGAACACCAGUGGCGAAGGCGGCUCACUGGACCAUUACUGACGCUGAGGUGCGAAAGCGGGGGGAGCAAACAGG